rnacentral:rRNA from 1 species
AUGUUUUACUUGUUGCAUUGGUUCUUCGGCGCUGCUAUACACACGAUGCCUGCACACCGACGCCGUCGCAAUGCCAACAGCGAGCAUGCUCGCAAGAGCGCUGUUGGGGAGGGAGCAUCGUUUGUAGGUCGUCCGGAGACUGUCGUGUGUGAAGCAAUUUCCUUGGUUCUUCUUGUUCUUACUUCCGUUGUCCUGGCAUGUGUAGGACAAGAUGUUUUCCUCAUUGCAAACCGAAAGUCGUCUGAAUUCUUUAACAUAUCUUAUUUUCAUCAAUUCCAAGUGGUAUCUCCAAGUGAAACAACUAUGGAGGGAGUGGCCAAUCGAUGA